rnacentral:rRNA from 1 species
GAUGAACGCUGGCUACAGGCUUAACACAUGCAAGUCGAGGGGAAACGCCGGGGAAGCUUGCUUCCCCGGGCGUCGACCGGCGCACGGGUGAGUAACGCGUAUCCAACCUGCCUCUGACUGAGGGAUAACCCGUCGAAAGUCGGCCUAAUACCUCAUGGCAUCGUCUGCGGGCAUCCAACGACGAUUAAAGAUUUCAUCGGGUAGGGACGGGGCUGCGUCUGAUUAGCUAGUUGGCGGGGUAACGGCCCACCAAGGCGACGAUCAGUAGGGGUUCUGAGAGGAAGGUCCCCCACAUUGGAACUGGGACACGGUCCAAACUCCUACGGGCGGCAGCAGUGAGGAAGAUUGGGCAAUGGGCGAGAGCCUGAACCAGCCAAGUAGCGUGCAGGAUGACGGCCCUAUGGGUUGUAAACUGCUUUUAUGCGGGGAUAAAGUGAGGGACGUGUCCUUCAUUGCAGGUACCGCAUGAAUAAGGACCGGCUAAUUCCGUG